rnacentral:rRNA from 1 species
GACGAACGCUUGCGGCGUGCUUAACACAUGCAAGUCGAACGGAAAGGCCCUGCUUUUGUGGGGUGCUCGAGUGGCGAACGGGUGAGUAACACGUGAGUAACCUGCCCUUGACUUUGGGAUAACUUCAGGAAACUGGGGCUAAUACCGGAUAGGAGCUCCUGCUGCAUGGUGGGGGUUGGAAAGUUUCGGCGGUUGGGGAUGGACUCGCGGCUUAUCAGCUUGUUGGUGGGGUAGUGGCUUACCAAGGCUUUGACGGGUAGCCGGCCUGAGAGGGUGACCGGCCACAUUGGGACUGAGAUACGGCCCAGACUCCUACGGGAGGCAGCAGUGGGGAAUAUUGCACAAUGGGCGGAAGCCUAAUGCAGCAACGCCGCGUGCGGGAUGACGGCCUUCGGGUUGUAAACCGCUUUCGCCUGUGACGAAGCGUGAGUGACGGUAAUGGGUAAAGAAGCACCGGCUAACUACGUGCCAGCAGCCGCGGUGAUACGUAGGGUGCGAGCGUUGUCCGGAUUUAUUGGGCGUAAAGGGCUCGUAGGUGGUUGAUCGCGUCGGAAGUGUAAUCUUGGGGCUUAACCCUGAGCGUGCUUUCGAUACGGGUUGACUUGAGGAAGGUAGGGGAGAAUGGAAUUCCUGGUGGAGCGGUGGAAUGCGCAGAUAUCAGGAGGAACACCAGUGGCGAAGGCGGUUCUCUGGGCCUUUCCUGACGCUGAGGAGCGAAAGCGUGGGGAGCGAACAGGCUUAGAUACCCUGGUAGUCCACGCUGUAAACGGUGGGUACUAGGUGUGGGGUCCAUUCCACGGGUUCCGUGCCGUAGCUAACGCUUUAAGUACCCCGCCUGGGGAGUACGGCCGCAAGGCUAAAACUCAAAGGAAUUGACGGGGCCCCGCACAAGCGGCGGAGCAUGCGGAUUAAUUCGAUGCAACGCGUAGAACCUUACCUGGGUUUGACAUGGAUCGGGAGUGCUCAGAGAUGGGUGUGCCUCUUUUGGGGUCGGUUCACAGGUGGUGCAUGGCUGUCGUCAGCUCGUGUCGUGAGAUGUUGGGUUAAGUCCCGCAACGAGCGCAACCCUUGUUCACUGUUGCCAGCACGUUAUGGUGGGGACUCAGUGGAGACCGCCGGGGUCAACUCGGAGGAAGGUGGGGAUGACGUCAAGUCAUCAUGCCCCUUAUGUCCAGGGCUUCACGCAUGCUACAAUGGCUGGUACAGAGAGUGGCGAGCCUGUGAGGGUGAGCGAAUCUCGGAAAGCCGGUCUCAGUUCGGAUUGGGGUCUGCAACUCGACCUCAUGAAGUCGGAGUCGCUAGUAAUCGCAGAUCAGCAACGCUGCGGUGAAUACGUUCCCGGGGCU